rnacentral:tRNA from 1 species
GCGCGUGUAGCUCAGUUGGUAGAGCAUUCGACUGAUACUCGAAGGGUCCUAGGUUCGAAUCCUAGCACGCGCA